GCCUGCCUCCCUCCUUAGGAAUCCCAAGCGGCGAAGGAGCGGCACCCGCAGUGUGAGGCUCCCCCUGGCUGCUUGGAGCGGACCGAGCGAGGGGAGGGGGGAAGCCCCGAACUGCACGGAGCAGCCGCCGCCGUUUCAUCCUGCGGCACCGAGAGGCUGAGAGAGACAGAGCGCGAGCCACCACGCGCGAGAGAGGAGCCCAUGUGCGCAGAUGGCAGUGUGGAAGCCAAGUACUGGCAGAAGUUAUUUUCUCUCUCUCUCUCUCUCUCUCUCUCUGAGAAAAUGAAGAGAGUGUACACAUGACUAGGCUUGGGAACUUGAGAAACCACAGUGUCCCACUUUAGCUCCUGUACUUCAACUUCCAGACACCAGCUCAAACAACUAAAUAACCAGCUCUGGUUUGCA